GUGGGGAAUUUUGCGCAAUGGGGGAAACCCUGACGCAGCAACGCCGCGUGGGUGACGAAGGCUUUCGGGUUGUAAAGCCCUGUCAGGAGGAACGAAUGGUUGGGUUAACGGCCUAACUUUGACGGUACCUCUAGAGGAAGCACUGGCUAACUCCGUGCCAGCAGCCGCGGUAAUACGGAGAGUGCAAGCGUUGUUCGGAAUCAUUGGGCGUAAAGCGCGUGUAGGCGGCCGAGUAAGUUGGGUGUGAAAGCCCUUGGCUUAACUGAGGAAUUGCGCUCAAAACUACUUGGCUUGAGUACAGGAGGGGAAGGCGGAAUUCCCAGUGUAGAGGUGAAAUUCGUAGAUAUUGGGAGGAACACCGGUGGCGAAGGCGGCCUUCUGGACUGAUACUGACGCUAAGACGCGAAAGCGUGGGGAGCAAACAGGAUUAGAAACCCUGGUAGUCC
rnacentral:rRNA from 1 species